rnacentral:tRNA from 1 species
CAGGAAGUAGUUUAAUUAGAAUGCCAGCUUUGGGUGCUGGAGGUGAGAUGUAUGAGUCUUCUUUCUGA